rnacentral:misc_RNA from 1 species
AAAAGUACUUGCCAUUAGGACAUCCCGGUCAAUUUAACAAAAUAAAAAUCAUACAAAUUGAAUUGUAUAAAUUGCAUAUAUGUUUCUCUCAUUAAUUUUUCAUCCAAAAUUCAGGCAAUCAUUACAGUUAUAAAAGGAUAGGAGUAAGCGGUGAUGGUUUAAAGCACGAGAAAACUGAGAAUCAUAUCAGACAUGAACAUUUGCAAAUAUAGAAACAAAUGCGGUUAAUUAUAUCAGUAUAACUAUAAAGAGAAACAAAACAAGCUACAUAAGAAAAG